rfam:Ovis aries breed Texel chromosome 1, whole genome shotgun sequence.
UCCCUGAUAGCUCAGUUGGUAAAGAACCUGCCUGCAAUGCAGGAGACCCUUGGUUCGAUUCCUGGGUCGGGAA